rnacentral:piRNA from 1 species
UGGGGUAGAAGUACUGAUGUGCCAUGUC